rnacentral:rRNA from 1 species
GAUGAACGCUGGCGGCGUGCCUAAUACAUGCAAGUCGAGCGAACAGGCGAGGAGCUUGCUCCUCUGACGUUAGCGGCGGACGGGUGAGUAACACGUGGAUAACCUACCUAUAAGACUGGGAUAACUUCGGGAAACCGGAGCUAAUACCGGAUAAUAUAUUGAACCGCAUGGUUCAAUAGUGAAAGACGGUUUUGCUGUCACUUAUAGAUGGAUCCGCGCCGCAUUAGCUAGUUGGUAAGGUAACGGCUUACCAAGGCAACGAUGCGUAGCCGACCUGAGAGGGUGAUCGGCCACACUGGAGCUGAGACACGGUCCAGACUCCUACGGGAGGCAGCAGUAGGGAAUCUUCCGCAAUGGGCGAAAGCCUGACGGAGCAACGCCGCGUGAGUGAUGAAGGUCUUCGGAUCGUAAAACUCUGUUAUUAGGGAAGAACAAAUGUGUAAGUAACUAUGCACGUCUUGACGGUACCUAAUCAGAAAGCCACGGCUAACUACGUG